AUGCCUCGGCCAAGUGGUGGGGGUGUUCAUGGCCAUGUCCCUGGUCAUGGUGCUGAUUCUGGGAAUGCAGCCGCUGCUGUUGUCCCUGGUCGGGCUGCUGGUCCUGGGUUCACCGCCACUCCUAGGCGUGCGGCGGUCCCUGGGAUUGCUAGACGUUAUGUGCCACGUCAGCCUGUUGGGUGUCCUCCUCGAAACCGUACAAGUGAUGGCUGGUUCCCAUUUCCGAGCUUGACCGUGGCUGCGGUAAAUCGCAGAAAACGGAAAAUGUGCGUUGAGUUUCGGCGCGCUCGAUAUGAAGAACAUGUCGUUGAUGGGCCUUUGCCGAAGGAUUGGAAUGGUUUCUCGGUUUAUGGGAGUUUAGAGCUGACCGGGGUAGACCGCAACAGACGGAAAAGACGGAAAGUGUCAAUUAAAUUGCGACGUCCUGGAUGCGAAGAUUGUUGUCCAAGGGCCUAUGCCGAAGGAUUGGCAAGGUUUCUCGGUCAAGUUUGCCGAGUCCCUUAA
rnacentral:rRNA from 1 species